UACGGGGGGGGCAAGCGUUGUUCGGAAUUACUGGGCGUAAAGGGCUCGUAGGUGGCCAACUAAGUCAGACGUGAAAUCCCCAGGCUCAACUUGGGAACUGCGUCUGAUACUGGAUGGCUUGAAUCCGGGAGAGGGAUGCAGAAUUCCAGGUGUAGCGGUGAAAUGCGUAGAUAUCUGGAGGAAUACCGGUGGCGAAGGCGGCAUCCUGGACCGGCAUUGACGCUGAGGAGCGAAAGCCAGGGGAGCAAACGGG
rnacentral:rRNA from 1 species